CCUCUGCAGCAGCUGUCAGCAGCAGCCCUGGGACAAGAAGCACUGGAGCCCCAGAUUCUGAUUCUGCAAGGACCACUACUGCUAGUUCAGUGGCCACAACCAAACCAUCUACCUCUGCCAGCACAGAACCAGGAACCAUAAGCACUCCUGGAGGCUCUACCACUGUAAGUCCUGAAACAUCAACUAGACCAGUCACUACCUCUGCUGAGAGCAGUGCAGGUAAAGGAGAGAAGAGAGAAGUCUGACUUGUGUGUG
rnacentral:lncRNA from 1 species